CCGCCUAAACUUUUUUCCCACCCAAACAGAAAAUAAACCCUAACUUUGGGAACAUCCUCCAAAACUUUGUUUCCUCCGCCACACAACUCAUUUGUUUCUCUUCCUCUUUCUUUCUCUCCGUCUCUGCAACUCAUUUUUUCAUGUCAAGUUUAAGGAAAUCAAAGAGAAAAACUUCACCUCAAACUCUAAUCAAUCAGAAACUUAGAAAAACUUCAACUCAAACUCAAACAGUAAUCGAUCGGAAACUCAUAAAUCUCAUCUUCAACCUCAGUUUUUGUAGUAUUUGUACGCGUGAAAGAAUGGUGAAGAACAAUUUGGGCAAGGAAGCCACGACAAAAAAGUCUGUUGCAACUCCCAAGAAGAAGAUUAGCAAGCAAGACAGAACUGUCCAGUCUGUCCCAUUACAAAAGAAUAAGAGUUCGCAGCCUUCAAAGUCUGAAAUCAAACAAACAACUCCUAAGAAGAAGAAGAUUUCAUAGAAACCUGCAAUCCAAAAAUCUCCAAGUCAUUCACCAACUGAACAUGAAAAGACACCAAGACGUACAUCACAUAGAUUUAAGAACAGGUCAGAGGAACGAGAACAUACUGCUGAAAAGAGUACUACAACACGAUUAUCACUUAGGAAAAGGAAAAGUUUAGUUGAACCGGAAAGCGCCACACAAUCUGAACCAGUCCAGUUCACAUCAGCAACAUCUCAAAUUGCACGCUCCAAGGAAGUUACUGUGAAGGAAACGACAGUAAAGCGGAAAUUGUACCAAUCAUUCCCAUGUCCGAAUGUCCAAGUCAGGAAUCCAAAUAAUACCUUCUAUGAUAUUCUUGAAGAAGAUGAAGAGGAAGCGUAACUGGAGAAUGUUGUUGCUACUGAAGAGAGGGAAGGUGAAGACAAUGAAAUGGAGAAUGAUAGAGAGAAUGACAUCGCAACAAAUGAAAAUGAAAAAGGAGAUGAGGUUGUACAAGGAGAACAAAAGAGAAAGCAUGUUCCUCGUGGCCCAACACGGAUGGCUUCACUAGGGCUAACAUAGGACAACAAAAAAUCCAUACAAGGCCAUUGUUAGCUUUAACAAUAAAGAUCGGCCUGUUGGUGACCCUUCCGUGCAACUUGCAAGUGUGUUAGGAGUUUUGGUAAGGCGAAACAUUUCAUUAACUUGCAAGGAUUGGAAAGUGGUCCCUAAAGAAUCCAAAUAUAGUAUAUGGAAGAUUGUCCAGGUAAUUUCUUAAAUCUUCGACUCUUUACCUCUUUAGCUAUUUUAACCUUCAAUAUUAAUUUCAACUCCUUUACUGUUAUUUGCAUAUGAGGUUCAUUGUUGAUGAUUUUUACAGAGAUUACUAUUAUGGGAAGAUGGGUUGUUAUCUUAAGGAGGCUAGGUCUAGGAAAGCAUGUAAGAUACUCGCCCUUGAUGAGUUGGAAGAAGAAUAAAGAGAGAAUAGGAUUAAAACACUUAAACCACAGAACAUGUCAUACAAUGAGUGGGAAGAUUUCGUAAAAACUAUUUGCCCGGAGAAAUUCAGAGUUGGUUAUGUAUUAUUAUUUAAUGACAUUCCAUUACUUUGUCACGCAAAAAGACUCAAAAUGCAGGAAAUUCGACAAAAGCAUACCACCUCACACACGCUCAGUAGGCAAGGUUAUGCUCGACUGGAGGCGAAAAUGCAAAAUGAGCAGAAUACAACUGAAGAGAUUGAUAGAGUUCGAUUGUGAAAAAAGGGGUCACGAGCAAAAAGAAGGAAAGGAACCAAAUCCAGGGGUAUUUGAGGCUUUUGUGAGGACCCAAGAAACUUAUUAUUUCUUUGUUUAUGUGUUUGAAUGAUUCAAUUCAUAAAUUUCAGUAAUAUGUUUCACACUAAUACAGGAGAAACUUGCAAGAGCUAAAGAACAUGGUGGUGCCGAUGUUGGUGGAUCAUCUGUCACAGAUGAUCUUCUUGUCAAAGCUCUUGGUGGUGACAAACCAGGUCGACUCAAAGGAAUAGGGUUUGGAUAGACAAAGACAAAGAUGGUUGUCAAGUCCCAUUAUAAGAAGAUCAUUAACGAGUGUCGAGAAAGUCUGAUGGAAUUGAAUGAGAGAUUUAUGAUGUUAGAGGUGAAAAUUUUAUUAUUGAUGUGGUUUGGUCUUUAUAUAGGAAAGGAGCUCGAGAUGUGUCUGUUGCCAUGAUGGAUCACUGUUACAAAAGCCCAGUCCAAAUUAUGAAAAUGCCAGUAACAACCAUGCGAGCGCUAGCAUUGUCCGUGAAAAUGGCAUUCCAUUGAGUAGAACAGACGUGGUGCAAAAGCCAGUGGGAGUUGCAGAGAAGAAUAGAGCUUGCAGGGUACUAAGUUGGUACGUUGAGGUCGAGAUUGUGGCUGAUGCAUUUAUUGCUGAAACUGAUCCAAAGAAGUUUAUCCAUGGAAUGCCAAUAGGUUUUGGAGCUUACAAGGUAUCUGUGAAAACUUCUCGUGUGGAUGAUGCUCUUCUCUACAGGAAAACCAAUUAGUUGAAGUGUAUCCAUGAUGCUAUAGGAACUUGCAUCUCAUGGGCCAAGGAUUUGAUAUUGCUUGACUAGCCAUCUGACUUCUUAAUCUUCUUUGGGAGUGUUUCAAGAAACUUUCUUCUUUUGUUGCUCUUUUUUUGUGUCACUGGAUAUUUUGAAUUGUGGAAUAGGUUAAUGCUUGAAUGAUCUAAAAAUGGUUAACUGUGUGAGGGGUUGAAGUGUUUGAAUUAAUGCUGGUACAUUUUAGUGAAUGCUGGUACAUUUGGAUGAAUAAUGCUGGUAUAUUUAAAUGAUGUAGCCAA